GGGUGAAGGGGGGCGAAAAACAACCCUGCGUUUCCGCCGCCUCAUCGACAAGUUUAUUGACGCCUUGUUUUGUCAUUCAGUCGUCACGUGGCAAACGCCAUGUUUCAUACAUUCGUCCUCACAUUUUGCAUAGUUAACAUCCAUUUGUUGCACAAAGGCCUAACAUUUCCUAUUGUGACUAGCACAACAUUUUUGUUUCAAAACAUUCAAACAGCUGCAACCAUUUCCCCCUUGGUGAAGAUCCCUUCCAUAAAACAACGUGAAAAGAGUUCACGGAGUACGUUUCUUUUUGUCACCCUAUUUCGAAUGCAUUUUUAUUCGAACGUGAAUAGAUGCCAACGGUAAGAUUGUUGACGUAGAAAACUGUGAAAGUGCCUUUGACACUUCGGCUAUGAGAAAACUUGCCUAGCAACGACACACACACACACACACUGCUAAGGGAUAGAGGGGGCAAAACCGGUAACCGGCCAAGGAUAUUUAUACAUCACAGUCACGACUCUGCUAGAUGUUUUCAUUUCUACGAAAAAUUAAGAGCUAACUACUUUUUAUCACAUUAUAACUCCAAAGUCUAUUUAUCUAUUAACAUUAUUUUGCAGGGAAUUUUCUCCCUUCAUCUGAUAGUGCACAUUUGUCAGCCAUUUUGAUUGACAGGUGGGGUGCUAAACACAAUCUGCAACUGAAAUUAUGUUACGUAACGUUUUAGCCCUUGUUUAAUUUUCAUUAUGUGAUAAGGUACCGAUGGAAAAUUAUGAAAGUUUCAAUUUUUACGUCACCACUGAAGAGGUCAUGAAGGUUCAUCGUUAUGUAAAAUCCUUUUACGCAGUGCAUUCCUAUCAGUUUCCGAGAAACCGACCGGUUCUACUAGUUCCAUAUCACUUCUAGGAAAAGAAUAAAACAUUUUUACCUGGAGACCUUGAUGGAUGGCGUCAGAGGACCCGAAUUCAACGGCCGGAAGACAGUUGUAACCAUGAAAAAUCAGAGUGCCGAAGUAAAACAAAACCGGGUGCCUACUAAAAUAACGAGCACUCACAUGAGAAAAUAGUUGACUGUUUUGUUUUAUCUGAAAAACAAAGAAAAAGGAAAGAUCACGGGGACAAUCGAGAUCCAACCGGAAUUCCUCUUCUAGGCGACCAAAGAGGGGGAUAUAUGAGAGUUAGCAACAAUCCUUGUUCCGGUUGUGCCGUUUAUCAAACAGGUGUUGUAGCAGAUACAUCCGUGUGUAGUACGGUCACGUGUGUGUGUGUGUGUGUGCCUGUAAAAAUUGACAAUACGUUCGUGUUCUAUGACGUCAAUGCUCCACACUAGGCAACUCACGCCAAAGCGUUAAAUGAAUCGUUGUUAUAGACGUCAUUGCAUGACACAACUGUUUUUCUCCGCACGCAAGAAUUAUUUCAUUUUUAAUAUUUUUUUUUUGUUUUCCACCUUUUUCCCAGCAGGUGCGUGUCGUAACCUUUUGGAGUUGUCGAUUAUUCUCUGGAGGAAAAAAUUUUAACUUUAAUUUGCUCGAUCAAUCGUAUUAUAUAACAGACUACGAGAAAACGUCGAUCACGUUGUGGCUGCAUGGUAUCCCGGUCGAUCAUCCAACGUUAAAAAAGGGCUUGCAAGCCCAAUGAACUCCCAUCCAAAGUUCAUUGGUCCAUUUGACCUCCCCCCUCAUUAAAAAGGGAGGACAAAUUUUUCAAAAAAUUUCAGGGAAUCUCUGGAGGACUAAGAAGAAAAACAAAAUCAGUUGGAAUGCUCUCACCCUGUAGUACUAGAAAAAAUUUGCCUCCGACUUCAGUGGCUUAAACGUAAAACGUAAAAAAAAAAAAUGUUUUCAACAUCUUGAGCAAGGUGUUGCCGUGUGGUAGGCAAUUAGCGAGAACGUUUGUUUUCCGACAUAUUGCCCCUUUUCUUUUUACCUUAAUGAAAACAGACUUUAAAAAUCUUAAUGGGGGGUCAUUGGUUUCAGACAAAUUCUAUGAAGAUUUCUGUGACUUGCUGGGUCAUUGAAAUUGAGAUAAUUCCAUUGACCUUUUGAAUCACUUGUUUAAUCCAAACUGUACAAGGCUUGGGUUGAGAGAAAGACCGUCUCUUGUGAAUAAGGAUCAUGCACCUCACUCGAUCGUCUCACAAUCGACUUGAACAUUACCACAUAAGAGUCAUUCCCUCUAGAGAGUGCCCCAAACAAAGACGUGGCGUUAGAUGCUGAGCUUAUGUAAGUUGGAAACUAUCAGGAUUUAUAAGCUAUAGAUGAUUUUGCAAGCAUUAAUAUCGGAGACGAUGAUGAACAAACCUCUUGCGUAGCAUCAUCGUCAUUGGGCAAAGACGUCACAGAACGUAGGGUGAAAUGUUUUCACCGAUAUAUAUGUAUGUAUUUCAUAAGAUCGUAGCUCGUGCACUCACGAUCUUCAGUUCAAUCACGUUCCUAGGUGACCUUCCCCCCUAUUUCUUGCGUCCGUCUAUAGUAUUUAAUAGAAUUUAAUUACCGAGUCUUAGAAGGAGACAAGCAAUUAAAUACCUCAUCCAAACGUUUCCCAAUAUUCCCAAUAGCCAACAUGAUUUGAAAGUUAAUUGUUUUGACACACAAAUUCUUUAGGGAGGGCAUCGAGAAGAACAAGUUGUCAUACUCGAACAUGUAUGACAGGAUAUAAUCAUUAAUCAAUUGGUUCCCACGUAUCCUUUUCACAAAUGAUCGGAUGUUGUGUAUCGACUCAGGUGAUAUAAAAACAGAGAAGCCCUUACCCUAUCAAGUCGAUAGAAAUGUUUCCCACGGUGAUUUUGUACAGAAUAAAAAAAUGGACACGUUCAUUUUCACCCCGAGAUGGCGAUUCAAUUAUUCGUUCGCAUUUUUUUUAAAUCGCAUAACGUAAUAUUUGAACGAUGCGUUGUUAUCCGGGGGCGUUGGAAAAACACGCAGUCAAUGUCCGACCUUCAACGUAUUAUAAGCAAGGCUACUGAUGAAGAAUAUAUAUAUAACAUUUAUUUUAUUAUUUAUUUUUUAAAGAAAAAUUAAAAUCGCCUUAGGGAGAAAGCUACUCGUCACGUUUAGAUUGGUUGGUCUAGACACAACAUUUUUGGAAACUCAUUUAACAAAAGUUUUUCAAACCGUCAAUCAAGCGAGAGGACUUGCUGUGAUUGAAGCUAAAUGCGAUAAUCCCCGUACAGACUGUUGGUCCAUUACAAUAAAUUAUAGGCUUGUAUGCUCUUGGCGAGAAUGUCGACCUCAAAUUUUCGAAAAAAAUAAAAGUUUGUGAUCUAUUUUUUCAUGAAUGUUUAAACUCUCUAAAUGCCUAUAUAAAUGUCGGCAUGCCGUCUGAUAUCAUUGAUUACUUCGUAAUGUAUUCGUAUGUGAUAAAAUGGCUUUUUGAACGCCUCCGGCUUUUUCAAUUACAGGUACGU